rnacentral:rRNA from 1 species
UUGUCAUAUGCUUGUUUCAAAGAUUAAGCCAUGCAAGUUUAAGUUCUUCUGUUGAUUGGUGAUACCGCGGAAGGCUCAUUAAAUCAGUGAUCGUUUAUUUAUGUGGUUUUCGAUAAGGAUAACUGCGGUAACCCUGCAGAUAAUACUUGUAAAAUCUACUUUAGAUACGGAGGAAGAGAGUUAUAUAUUAAAAGGCCAUUACCUUGAAAAUAGGUAGCUGAUGAAGUUCACAUAAUGACUAAAACCAAUUUAACUUGUCUUAAAGGCAAAACUAAGAAAAUCUCUGACCUAUCAACUAUGGACGGUAGUGUACGGGACUACUGUGGUUUUAACGGGUGACGGAGAAUUAGGGUUCGAUUCCGGAGAGGGAGCCUGAGGAAUGGCUACCACAUCUAAGGGAGGCAGCAGGCGCGCAAAUUACCCAAUCAUAGAACGGGGAGGUAGUGACGAAAAAUAACGAUACGGUGCCUUCGGUAUUGUGAUCGGAAUGAGAUGAACAAAACUACUUCAUCAAGGAUCAAGUGGAGGGCAAGUCUGGUGCCAGCAGCCGCGGUAAUACCAGCCUUCACAAGCAUAUACAAAAGUUGCUGCGCUUGAAAAGCUCGUAGUUGGAUUUGUUGAUGAUAGCAAAGUGUAAUCUAAUAGAGGAAUAACUAUGCUUGUCAUUAUCAAGACGUUGGAUGAGCUUGCACUUAAUUGUGUUGAGUUAAUUAGGCGGAUGAUUCAUUUUGAGUAAAUUAGAGUGUUCAAAGCAGCCCAUGGGUUAGUAUAUUACAGCAUGGAAUGAUGGAGGAAGACGUGAUCUCAAAUUCAUUGGUCGUUGUAGAUUAUGUAAUGGUUGAAAAGGAUAAGCGGGGGUAUUCGAAUUGAUGUGUUAGAGGUGAAAUUCUUGGAUCGCAUCAAGUCCACCUAAUGCGAAAGCAUUUGCCAAGAAUGUUCCUAUUAAUCAAGAACGAUAGUUAGAGUAUUGAAGAGGAUUAGAUACCCUCGUAAUUCUAACCAUAAACGAUACAUACUUGCAACUCGUGAGAGUCGAUAGUAGAUUUCAUGGGGAGUUAUCUGGUAAACCAAAGUAAAUUUGUUCCGGGGGAAGUAUGGUUGCAAAAUCGAAACUUAAAGGAAUUGACGGAAGGGCACCACCAGGAGUGGAGCCUGCGGCUUAAUUUGACUCAACACGGGAAAACUCACCAGGUCCAGACAUGGGAAGGAUUCACAGAUUAGAUCUCUCUGAAGAUUUCUAUGGGUGGUGGUGCAUGGCCGUUCUUAGUUAGUGGAGCGAUUUGUCUGGUUAAUUCCGAUAACGAACGAGAUUCUAUCCAUCUAAAUAGAAUACCCGACUUUAGAUCGGGUUUUCUUCUUAGAGGAACCGUGAGGGAACAUACACCAAGGAAGGGGGGUCAUAACAGGUCUGUGAUGCCCUUAGAUGUCCUGGGCCGCACGCGUGCUACACUGAAUAUCGUAAAGUGAUUAUUUCUUGUCCGGAAUGGUUUGGGCAAUCAUCAAAUGUUUAUUCAUAAUGGGAACCGAUUACUGUAAAUAUUAUUCGCAAACGAGGAAUUCCUAGUAAGCGCUAAUCAACAGUUAGUGUUGAUUAUGUCCCUGCCCUUUGUACACACCGCCCGUCGCUACUACUGAUUGGGCGUUUCAAGUAAGAAUUUCGGACUGAUGAUGUCAUGCUUCGUGCAUGUAAUUGAAGGAAAUGAUUCUAGCUUAAGUGCUUAGAGGAAGUAAAAGUCGUAACAAGGUUUCCGU